rnacentral:misc_RNA from 1 species
GAUGAAGAACGUAGCGAAAUGCGAUAAGUAAUGUGAAUUGCAGAAUUCAGUGAAUCAUCGAGUCUUUGAACGCACAUUGCGCCCCCUGGUAUUCCGGGGGGCAUGCCUGUCCGAGCGUCAUUGCUGCCCUCAAGCACGGCUUGUGUGUUGGGCCCCCGUCCCCGGUUUCCCCCGGGGACGGGCCCGAAAGGCAGCGGCGGCACCGCGUCCGGUCCUCGAGCGUAUGGGGCUUUGUCACCCGCUCUGUAGGCCCGGCCGGCGCCAGCCGACACCCAACUUUAUUUCUAAGGUUGACCUCGGAUCAGGUAGGAAUACCCGCUGAACUUAAGCAUAUCAAUAAGCGGAGGA